rnacentral:rRNA from 1 species
UACGUAGGGUGCAGGCGUUAAUCGGAAUUACUGGGCGUAAAGCGUGCGCAGGCGGUCUUUUAAGUCAGAUGUGAAAUCCCCGGGCUUAACCUGGGAACUGCGUUUGAAACUGGAAGGCUAGAGUGUGGCAGAGGGAGGUGGAAUUCCACGUGUAGCAGUGAAAUGCGUAGAGAUGUGGAGGAACACCGGUGGCGAAGGCGGCCCUCUGGACGGUGACUGACGCUGAGACGCGAAAGCGUGGGGAGCGAACAGG